CAGAAGACUGCACGAGCAUUUACAGGUUAUGAAACACUGCUGACAAGCCAUCAGAAGUUGCAUAUAGUGAUUCGGUGUUUUGCGUUUAUCACCAGGAAUGUGCGUAUGAGUGGUACAUGAUUCAUCACAGACAAGAAUGCCAGAACUUUUGCGGGAAGCAAUGGCAGGUACACAGCCUACUUUCACAGCCUUGCUGUGCUGUGAAAGUAGCGUAUGAGUGGCAGGUAUGUGCGUAUGAGUGGCACACAGCCUUGCUGUAAAAGUCGCGUGUCAACUGCUUUA